UACGUAGGGGGCAAGCGUUGUCCGGAAUCAUUGGGCGUAAAGAGCGUGUAGGCGGCCAGAUAAGUCCGCUGUGAAAUCUCGAGGCUCAACUUCGAGCUGUCGGUGGAAACUGUCUGGCUAGAGUCCGGAAGAGGAGAAUGGAAUUCCUGGUGUAGCGGUGAAAUGCGCAGAUAUCAGGAAGAACACCGAUGGCGAAGGCAGCUCUCUGGGACGGUACUGACGCUGAGACGCGAAAGCGUGGGGAGCGAACAGG
rnacentral:rRNA from 1 species